GCCGCCUCGGUCCUCGGUCGGCGCCGCUCCGUUCCCUGGUGUGUUGAUUCUUCCCCCAGCUGCUGCCUAAUGGAGUCCGGGCGCUGGCGUCACAGGAAAUGCCUAUACUGCCCUCCUCGCUCACUUCCGGUGGCAGGGUGGAAACACUGAACUUCCGCAGACGGGUACUGCACACAGUCGCUGCAUCUGUACUUCCCCCGGACAGUGGGGAAUCACAGCGGAGGAGACCAGGCUCUACCCUGGGAAGGCGAAGUCUUCUGUAGGCGCCUAUCCGGGGCAAGAAGUUACAAAGGCUGAGGGGUCUCCCUAGUCCCAGUCUACCUGGAAGUCAUGAUGUGGAUCAGGGUGGCCUUGACCUCACAGCUCUCCAUCUGCCUCUACCUCAGUUCACAGGUGUGCGGGCCAAGUCAAGUACUUGUGUAUACACACAGACCUCAGCUGAAUCGCACAUGAGCUGUGCCUUGUGCAACUGACCCUGCCAGAGGCCACAGCAUGGCUUUGACAAAGGGCAGCGUUCAUCACAGGUCAGACUGCUGAGGAACACUUCCUGCUGUGUUGUGUGUUGUUUCGCAUUUCAACAUGCACAGCUAUUUGUCACCACCUCAGAAGAUGCAGGUGAGUGAGGAAGGCCGCCUACCUAUGUGGGAGGGAUAACCUUGGUCAGAGCCCAAGCGUUUAGCUCAGCCUUGCUAUGUGUCAGGCUGGCGUCUGAUGCAGGAAGUGCUGUUUAUGUAUGUUCAGCAGUUUCCUGACCCACCUUCUAGAAGGGACAUGCCCCAUGGUCCUGAUGAGGAAACUGGAGACUAUGAAGCAGGCCUUUGCCUGCCUGACCACAGGGCUUUGGAGGUGGAGUCUCUUAGGAAGAAGGAUUAGCAGAGGGAGGAGCUGUUGUCAUUAGGAUGCCACACAUGGCACACUGAACAUGACCACCCAGCUCCAUGCUGACUCAUACACCUGAAACGUGAUUAACUUGGAGGGUGGGCAAGCAGGUCCUUUGAUUCAGUGGGGUGGAGGGAAUCCCUCCUCUCCUCUCUCAGCACCUUUUCCAGUUGCUGCCUUUCCGGAGGUCUGGAAGCUUGGAGAUUUCAUGUCCAUUGUGGACCCUUGAAGUCUGUCUUGGCCUGUGGAACCACCAUCAUUUGAAUGGCUCAACGAAGUAGCACUUGGGAUUGAAAACAAGUCUUUUCAGUGGUCUGGGUUCUCUUUUGCUUUCCAGGAAUCUGGCUGGUUCAGGAUUACCCAGGAGUCACUAAGCAGUUAAGGCGGUGACCAGCAGAAGGGCCCCUUGUUUUCUGACCCAGAGUAUAUUAGGGCACAGCUGGGUGUCUCAGCCUCCCUCUCCUCAUGGAGCACAAUCCCAACUCCAUGGUCAGGGAUGGAGUGUGGGUGGUGCUACAAGUGGUUCUUUCUCUUCUGUACCUUGUGUAUUACAUAUGGUAGAAUCAAGGGGGAAACCUCAGUUGCCGUUCCUGUGCAGGCCACAUCAAAGCAGCAGUUCUUCUCCCAGUCAUGGUAAAUUAAUGUCGGUCUCAAUAUAAGCAUUGUUUCAUCCCCUUUUAAUUUUUACAUGAAGCACAUGGCUUGUACAUAAUGUUUGGAGCAUCAAACAUCCUGUAUAGUCAUAUCUGAGUGUGAAUAGAACCUAUGUUUUAAUAAUAAGCAGAAUUUUUAUUAUGUGUAUGGUACCACAGGUGUAUCAUUUAAAAUUAUAUAUCUAGCAUUUAAAGUGUGUAGUAACUAAAAUAACUAUAGUUGCUUCACGUGGCCUAUAUAGGAUGUGCCGGUUUAGCAGAUAUGGUCAUUCAAUUUCACAUAAAAAGGUCACCUUAACUUGGCUUGUCAGAAGCAUGGGAAUCACAUUUUAAGUAGAAUGAGGGGUUUACAGUGCUGACAUGAAGGUUUGGCCUUGUCUCACUUCCUCCCUGUUAUCACACAAGCUCCUGAGCCUUCCAAAGGCAUAUGGCAUUGUUCUGCCUCAGUAUGUAGGGGUACCAGUCCUGUGUGAUCCUUUCCCUUGUCCCAAGGCCCAGAAAUGGGAUGUGAUCCAGUACCCACUGGGACACCAUGUAAUGAUUUGCCUUCCUUGUUAGCACCUUUCUACUGUGCUCCCAGGGCUGCAGCACCCUCCCAGGAUGAAGGAUGAGGUCUGCUUAUGCUGCAGCUCCUCUCUGCACAGGGGUGUACUGCAGUCUGUUCCCCUUCAGAUGCUGGCAAUCUGGGAAGGCACAGGAGGAGGCCUGCCCCUGGGAGUCACUGGGUCCCCCACAGGGUGUCAACUCCAGAGAGCUGGAUACAGGGGCCAGUCGGGGGAGCAGCAAGGGAGGAAUGUGUAACCUGGAACAGCAGCCUGAGAGUUGUCAAAGGGAUGCCCCAGCCCUGUGUUCCCCACAGAGGUUAGAUAUUUUUCCAUCAGCAGCUAAAGACAGCAGCUGGGGCCUGGACAGGAAGUAUAUGCUGAGUCAACGAGGAAGUGGCAAAAGAUGGUAUUCUGGUCACAAAGAGCUCUGUCUACCCAGAACUGGAUGUUCCUCCUGAAACAGGAUGACCAUGGCUGAAGUCCCUCCUGUUUCAGAGCUUCUCACAGGAUAGGUGACUUUGGCUUCUAAAAGCAACCUUCCAGCAACAGGACAGACCCUGCUUGAUCACAUUUCCGUACAGUUUAAACAGUUUAUAAACAGCCUCUCUAGAGAUUGGAGGGAGCCCAGCCAAUGCAAAUUCAUGACCUGACAACCCAGUGUUUUUUCCUGUGGUUCCCUUCCCUGACACCCCCUAUCCCCAGGCGGAGUGGGUGAGAUACUGGGCCAGAGGGCCAGAGAAGCUGUCUAAGGAGGAGCCAGAGAAGCUAAGGAGGAGCGACACAGCAUUUUCUGUGGAUGCUCUUCCCUUGUAAAUUUCCAGUCAGGCAUACUGGCAGCUCUGACGCCUGG